AUUGAACGCUGGCGGCAGGCCUAACACAUGCAAGUCGAGCGGAUGAGGAAAGCUUGCUUUUCGAUUCAGCGGCGGACGGGUGAGUAAUGCCUAGGAAUCUGCCUGUUAGUGGGGGAUAACUCGGGGAAACUCGGGCUAAUACCGCAUACGUCCUACGGGAGAAAGUGGGGGAUCUUCGGACCUUACGCUAACAGAUGAGCCUAGGUCGGAUUAGCUAGUAGGUGAGGUAAUGGCUCACCUAGGCGACGAUCCGUAACUGGUCUGAGAGGAUGAUCAGUCACACUGGAACUGAGACACGGUCCAGACUCCUACGGGAGGCAGCAGUGGGGAAUAUUGGACAAUGGGCGAAAGCCUGAUCCAGCCAUGCCGCGUGUGUGAAGAAGGUCUUCGGAUUGUAAAGCACUUUAAGUUGGGAGGAAGGGUAUUCACCUAAUACGUGGGUACUUUGACGUUACCAACAGAAUAAGCACCGGCUAACUCUGUGCCAGCCGCCGCAAUAACAC
rnacentral:rRNA from 1 species